rnacentral:lncRNA from 1 species
UUUCUUUUCCCUCAUGGUCUCAGAUUGGCGGAGGCCCAUGGACACCAAGAUGGCUCCAUGCUCAGGUGUGAUAACCCCAUGGUGGGCGGGAGAUGCAGAGAAGUAUUGGACCUGGCCUGUGGAAAGGAGGCUGGCUCCAUGUUCUCAGGCCCUUAGGACCCUCCUGAGAGGAGCUGCCCAUGAGUGUGAGUCCUGGUGAAUGAUCCUGUGUGGGACGGUUUGGCUAGCAUGGGGACUGUACUAGUCAAGUAUAAAUUAAUGAAUCUGACAGUACCC